GACGAACGCUGGCGGCGUGCUUAACACAUGCAAGUCGAACGGAAAGGCCCUGCUUUUGUGGGGUGAUCGAGUGGCGAACGGGUGAGUAACACGUGAGUAACCUGCCCUUGACUUUGGGAUAACUUCAGGAAACUGGGGCUAAUACCGGAUAGGAGCUCCUGCUGCAUGGUGGGGGUUGGAAAGUUUCGGCGGUUGGGGAUGGACUCGCGGCUUAUCAGCUUGUUGGUGGGGUAGUGGCUUACCAAGGCUUUGACGGGUAGCCGGCCUGAGAGGGUGACCGGCCACAUUGGGACUGAGAUACGGCCCAGACUCCUACGGGAGGCAGCAGUGGGGAAUAUUGCACAAUGGGCGGAAGCCUGAUGCAGCAACGCCGCGUGCGGGAUGACGGCCUUCGGGUUGUAAACCGCUUUCGCCUGUGACGAAGCGUGAGUGACGGUAAUGGGUAAAGAAGCACCGGCUAAAUACGUG
rnacentral:rRNA from 1 species